GCUCUGAGGGGUGUCCAGUCCUCUACUGGCUGUACUGGGUAGAGAGGAACCAGGCUCUGAGGGGUGACCAGUCCUCUACUGGCUGUACUGGGUAGAGAGGAACCAGGCUCUGAGGGGUGACCAGUCCUCUACUGGCUGUACUGGGUAGACCAGAGGAACCAGGCUCUGAGGGGUGGCCAGUCCUCUACUGGCUGUACUGGGUAGACCAGAGGAACCAGGCUCUGAGGGGUGACCAGUCCUCUACUGGCUGUACUGGGUAGACCAGAGGAACCAGGCUCUGAGGGGUGGCCAGUCCUCUACUGGCUGUACUGGGUAGACCAGAGGAACC
rnacentral:lncRNA from 1 species